rnacentral:rRNA from 1 species
UCGGGAAUAUUCCGCAAUGGAGGAAACUCUGCCGCAGUGACGCCGCGUAUAGGAAGAAGGUUUUCGGAUUGUAAACUAUUGUCGUUAGGGAAGAUAAACGACAGUACCUAAGGAGGAAGUUCCGGCUAACUACGUGCCAGCAGCCGCGGUAAUACGUAGGGAGCAAGCGUUAUCCGGAUUUAUUGGGUGUAAAGGGUGCGUAGACGGGAAAUUAAGUUAGUUGUGAAAUCCCUAGGCUCAACUGAGGAACUGCAACUAAAACUGGUUUUCUUGAGUGCAGGAGAGGUAAGUGGAAUUCCUAGUGUAGCGGUGAAAUGCGUAGAUAUUAGGAGGAACACCAGUGGCGAAGGCGACUUACUGGACUGUAACUGACGUUGAGGCACGAAAGUGUGGGGAGCAAACAGG